GUCGAGCGCGUGAAGCAGGCAGAUCCCCUUCGGGGGUGACGCUUGUGGAUCGAGCGGCGGACGGGUGAGUAACACGUGGGCAACCUGCCUGAGAGACUGGGAUAACCCCGGGAAACCGGGGCUAAUACCGGAUAAUACUUUUCUUUGCAUGAAGGGAAGUUGAAAGGCGGCCUUUGGCUGCCGCUCACAGAUGGGCCCGCGGCGCAUUAGCUAGUUGGUGAGGUAAAAGCUUACCAAGGCGACGAUGCGUAGCCGACCUGAGAGGGUGAUCGGCCACACUGGGACUGAGACACGGCCCAGACUCCUACGGGAGGCAGCAGUAGGGAAUCAUCCGCAAUGGACGAAAGUCUGACGGUGCAACGCCGCGUGAGUGAUGAAGGUUUUCGGAUCGUAAAGCUCUGUUGUGAGGGAAGAACAAGUGCCGUUUGAAUAAGGCGGCACCUUGACGGUACCUCACCAGAAAGCCCCGGCUAACUACGUGCCAGCAGCCGCGGUAAUACGUAGGGGGCAAGCGUUGUCCGGAAUUAUUGGGCGUAAAGCGCGCGCAGGCGGUCUUUUAAGUCUGAUGUGAAAGCCCACGGCUUAACCGUGGAGGGUCAUUGGAAACUGGAGGACUUGAGUGCAGAAGAGGAGAGUGGAAUUCCACGUGUAGCGGUGAAAUGCGUAGAGAUGUGGAGGAACACCAGUGGCGAAGGCGACUCUCUGGUCUGUAACUGACGCUGAGGUGCGAAAGCGUGGGGAGCGAACAGGAUUAGAUACCCUGGUAGUCCACGCCGUAAACGAUGAGUGCUAGGUGUUAGGGGGUUUCCGCCCCUUAGUGCUGAAGU
rnacentral:rRNA from 1 species